AUGGCCAAGAUCCAGCCCCUUUCUUCGUCUCCCUGUUCCAGCUCUUCCUCCGAUGAUCACCAGCAGGGCAGGCAUGCGUACACGGUGUGGAUGAAGUCGCUCGUGUUCAACGGCAACGGCUGCGCGGUGUACGGCCCCGACGGCGCCGUCGCCUUCCGCGUCGAUAACUACGGCUGCAGGGGCGGCCGCGAGGUCCUCUUCAUGGACCGUCAGGGGAACGCACUCUUCACGAUCAUACGCAAGGGCUUCUGGGCGUUCAGCAGGUGGGAGGUCUGCCGCUGCGCCCACGACGGCAGCGAGGAGGAGGAGGCGACGCCGUGGUUCGGCGUGCGUCGUGCUGAGAAGGGCGGGGCCGCCGUCGCGAUGAACGGCGGCGCGGGGACGUGCUAUAGGAUCGAUGGGUGCUGUGCGCGCAAGCCGGAGUACAGAGUCCGCGGCGUGGAUGGCGCGGUCGUGGCCGAGGUCGCGCGGAAGCAGACGGCGGCGGGGGUCGUCCUGGGGGAGGACGUGCUGACGCUGACGGUGGGGCCGGAGGCGGAUCACCUGCUCGUCCUGGGCUUGGUCGUCGUGCGUGGCCUCAUAACCCGCUCCUUGUGA
rnacentral:rRNA from 1 species